GUGGAUUAGAUACCCGAGUAGUCCUGGCCGUAAACGAUGGAUACUAGGUGUAGCGGGUAUCGACCCCUGCUGUGCCGAAGCAAACGCGAUAAGUAUCCCGCCUGGGGAGUACGCACGCAAGUGUGAAACUCAAAGGAAUUGACGGGGACCCGCACAAGCGGUGGAACAUGUGGUUUAAUUCGAAGCAACGCGAAGAACCUUACCAGGGCUUGACAUCUGACGAAUCCCGAUGAAAGUUGGGAGUGCUCUUCGGAGAGCGUCAAGACAGGUGGUGCACGGCCGUCGUCAGCU
rnacentral:rRNA from 1 species